rnacentral:rRNA from 1 species
AGAGUUUGAUCCUGGCUCAGAGCGAACGCUGGCGGCGUACUUAACACAUGCAAGUCGAACGGGGAUCGUCAGUGUAGCAAUACAUCGGCGGUUCUAGUGGCGCACGGGUGAGUAACACGUGGGUAACCUGUCCUUGAGUCCGGGAUACCCUUUCGAAAGGAAGGCUAAUACCGGGUACGUUCCUCGGGUUGCGAAAUCUGGGGAGGAAAGGUGGCGAAAGCUACCGCUCUUGGAGGGGCUCGCGGCCUAUCAGCUAGUUGGUGAGGUAACGGCUCACCAAGGCGAUGACGGGUAGCUGGUCUGAGAGGACGACCAGCCACACGGGAACUGAGACACGGUCCCGACUCCUACGGGAGGCAGCAGUGGGGAAUUUUCCGCAAUGGGCGAAAGCCUGACGGAGUGACGCCGCGUGGGGGACGAAGGCCUUCGGGUCGUAAACCCCUGUCAGAGGGAAAGAAGGGUCGCUUGGCUAAUAUCCAAGUGAUCUGACGGUACCUUCAGAGGAAGCCCCGGCCAACUCUGUGCCAGCAGCCGCGGUAAGACAGAGGGGGCAAGCGUUGCUCGGAAUCACUGGGCGUAAAGGGCGCGUAGGCGGGAUGGCAAGUCGGUCGUGAAAUCUCUCGGCUCAACCGAGAAACGUCGGCCGAUACUGCCGUUCUUGAGGGAUGCAGAGGAGACUGGAAUUCCCGGUGUAGCGGUGAAAUGUGUAGAGAUCGGGAGGAACACCGGUGGCGAAAGCGGGUCUCUGGGCAUUUCCUGACGCUGAGGCGCGAAAGCGUGGGGAGCAAACGGGAUUAGAUACCCCGGUAGUCCACGCUGUAAACGAUGACGACUAGGUGUGGGGUGGUUCAGUCCAUUCCGUGCCGCAGCUAACGCAUUAAGUCGUCCGCCUGGGGAGUACGGCCGCAAGGUUGAAACUCAAAGGAAUUGACGGGGCGA